rnacentral:rRNA from 1 species
UCGGACGGGGUGAGUAACGCGUGAGAAUCUAGCUCUAGGUCGGGGACAACCACUGGAAACGGUGGCUAAUACCGGAUGUGCCGAAAGGUGAAAGGCUUGCUGCCUAGAGAUGAGCUCGCGUCUGAUUAGCUAGUAGGUGUGGUAAGAGCGCACCUAGGCGACGAUCAGUAGCUGGUCUGAGAGGAUGAUCAGCCACACUGGGACUGAGACACGGCCCAGACUCCUACGGGAGGCAGCAGUGGGGAAUUUUCCGCAAUGGGCGAAAGCCUGACGGAGCAAUACCGCGUGAGGGAGGAAGGCUCUUGGGUUGUAAACCUCUUUUCUCAGGGAAGAAAAAAAUGACGGUACCUGAGGAAUAAGCAUCGGCUAACUCCGUGCCAGCAGCCGCGGUAAUACGGAGGAUGCAAGCGUUAUCCGGAAUGAUUGGGCGUAAAGCGUCCGCAGGUGGCAAUGUAAGUCUGCUGUUAAAGAGUGAGGCUCAACCUCAUAAGAGCAGUGGAAACUACAUAGCUAGAGUGCGUUCGGGGCAGAGGGAAUUCCUGGUGUAGCGGUGAAAUGCGUAGAGAUCAGGAAGAACACCGGUGGCGAAAGCGCUCUUGCUAGGCCGCAACUGACACUGAGACGAAAGCUAAAGUGUUUCGAAUGGGAUUAGAUACCCCAGUAGUCAA